rnacentral:tRNA from 1 species
GGUCUAGUAGCUCAGUCGGUUAGAGCACUCGCCUGUCACGCGAGAGGUCGAGGGUUCAAGUCCCUUCUAGAUCGCCA